AAUGUGUUCUCAGCUUGAUCCAGACUCGUGUUUGUUAAUCCCUCAAGUGGAGAACACCUGCUUUGGAUUCAAGAGCCUCUACAAACACUCCUCAGGUUUUUGACCUCUACGUAGCUGUCACGAAGGAAAAUAGGAAUAGUAAAAGGAAUCCUGCUGUACACACUGGAUUGUGUUUAGUGCUGUGCUCAGUGUGCAGGUGGAAACCAGAGCAC